rnacentral:misc_RNA from 1 species
AUGAGUUUGCAUCAGCAUAGGCUACAAGUCCCCCACCACUGACGGCGCAAACCACAAUAAACUUAGAGAGGAAAGGAUAGCCAUGGAAGGAUCUAGAAGCUCGCUCGAACAAGCUUAAACCUUUCAUUUUUCGCUUACACUUAGAUCUGUUUCCAAAAAUUAUGUAGAAAACAGAGAUAAAUUAAACAGAAAGCGGUUUUCAGCUCUAGAAAACGAGAUAGAGAACUCUAGUCUAGAGAGAGAGGCGGUUUUCUUUGUUGUAUUAUAGAGAAGAAGAAGAAGAGAAAUUGUGGAGUCCGAAAAGGUGGGAGAGAGGGAAGUGAGGUAGGAGGAAGGUUGGA